UUACAGUAGUCAGGGACCGGAGACUGAGAAUGACAGGGAAUGAUGUUUUAUUUGACACAAGCAGAGGUGAAGGUGAGCAAUGGUGAAGCAAUGGGUGAGGAUACGGUGCUGGUGUCUUGGAAGGUGAGAUGAUCCGAGAGGUGGUGGCUUGAGACGAUGGAGGAAGAUGACACACACACACACGAUGGGAACAGGAGGACACUGGAGAUCGCUGGAGAGAGGUAAAUCAGGUAUAUGGUUAGUCCUUAGAGUUAGCAGGUAGGUAUUGACCAAGUUGCGAACGAGACCGGACAGUGACUCCGUGUGUGUGACUUUUGAGUGCUGGGGAAAUUGCAGGUAGAUGAGGAGCAGGUGAGUGUGAUUAGUACUCAGGUGAUGGCGUGCGCUGUGAUUGGGUGGUGUUGGAGCCUGGCGUGUCUGUGACAGUACCCCCCUCCCCACGGCCCGCUCCUGAGGGCCGAUGACCCCGAUAUCGUGGUGGUCUUCCUCUUCCCCGUGGAGCAGGUCUGUCAGGGUGAUUGGUGUGGAAGGUGUCCAGCAGGUUCAGGUCCAGGAUGUCGUUGCGUGGGACCCAUGAGCGUUCCUCUGGACCGUAACCUUCCCAGUCCACUAGAUACUCGAGUUGUCCACCACGGCAUUCGGGAAUCCAAGAUCUCACGAACCUCGUGGGCAGUACCAUCGUCCAGGAUGAGUGGAAGGGGGGCUUCGGCUGCGGCUACGCCAGGCUCUGUGGAGAGGGAGACAGAAGGAUGGUGAGGUUUGAGGAGUGAUACAUGAAACGUGGGGUGGAUAUGAUACUCAGGAGGGAGGUGUAGCUUGUAUGUGACUGGGUUGAUCUGCUCUGCGAUGGUGAAUGGGCCAAUAAAUCUGGGACUCAAUUUGCGGCAUGGUAGACGCAGGCGGAUGUCUUGGGUUGACAGUCAGACCUUCUGUCCUGGUUGGUAGGCUGGAGCUUCGGAGCGGUGAAGGUCGGCUGUCAUCCUGCGUCUACGUAGGGCCCGUUGUAGCUGAUGGUGGGCCGAGUCCCAGACCCUCUCGCUCUCUCGGAACCAGUAGUCGAUGGAUGGUACGUCUGAGGGUUCACCUGACCAGGGAAGGAACGGGGACUGGUAGCCGAGCAUGCACUGGAAUGGAGUGAGUCCGGUGGAAGGUUGGCGCAGGGAGUUCUGUG
ensembl:lncRNA